AAUUGUCGUGCCUUGCUUUGAGUAAUUGGACCACUAGGAAAAAAAACCCCUUGAGUGUCACCUCCUUGGCUCGUAUCACUUUGGUUUCUGAAGCUUUGUCCUCACUUGGAAAGAUUUUAUGUCACUAUUGAUCCAAAAUGCUAUAACAUGCCUAGCACAGGAAAAUUCUCAACUUUAUUCAUUGUUCCUGAUAAGCUCUGUGAUCUCAAAGCAAUCAAAUUAGAAGGAUUUGCAGAUGAAGAAAAGGAGAUUUUCAUGGCAAGGCGAUUGAUACCAUUAUUUGGAGACAAUAAUCCAGUCAUUAUAUCCAAAUCAGGUGGGAAAUGUUUGAAGCAUCUAAUGAAAGUAGCCAAGUUGGAGAAGAAAGGGAAAUAUCAUUACAAGUUUAAAGUGGUUGACAAUGUUUUGGAAAAUUUUUCGAAACAUGUUCAUUCUUCAUUCCAACCUUUAAUUUAAUCUGAACCAUUAAGUUUUUUUAAUUUUUUAUCAAUGCUCAAUUCCUAUCAAGAAAUUGAACCAAAUUUUGUUGAAAUCAUGUGAAAUUGAGCUUGGAUUGGCAUAAAUCCAAAUCCAUACUUUUUAUUGGACAUCCAAACAAAAAAAUUGGAUCCAAAUAUUUUAUAUUUCCAA